ensembl:snoRNA
AGCACCUGUGUCUUUUUUGUCUAACUUAUGGAUAAAGACUUAUAGAUAGGUGAAAAAAAUAAAUCUUUUUUUCCAACCCAGAGCUCAUUGUUCAGCAUAAGUUUUGAUGCACAUAAGAAGAAAUGUU